rfam:Culex pipiens quinquefasciatus supercont3.1140 genomic scaffold, whole genome shotgun sequence.
GCUUAGAUAACUCUGUUGGUAGAGCGGUGGACUGUAGAUGGAAUUGAAAUUGUUCGUACAACAAUUGGAACAAUUCGCAGUUAUCCAUAGGUCGCUGGUUCAAAUCCGGCUCGAAGGA